rnacentral:lncRNA from 1 species
CAUAGGGGACUGGGGGGUGUCACAGGGGAUUGGGAGGUCACAUGGCUCUGGGAGUCUGAGGGGGGCACAGGGGUCUGGGGGAUCCAAGGGGGUCCAAGGGGUCUGAAGGGUCAAAGUGGGGUUGGCAGGAGGAAGGGGGUGGGGGGGGUCCUGGAGGGGAUCCUGGGCAGGCAGGAGCAGGGUCCCUUUUUGGGGUGCCAACCUCGCUGUGCCCUUUCCUUUCCCCCCGACCUGUCUUGCCCUGGCAGUUUGGCACCGGGUGUUUGCCAACGCGCUCCCGGACGAUCUGCGCAGCCCCAUGAGGAUCGAGCGCGAGGAGCAGCGGAACCUGCACUUCUUCCCUCCGGAAUAUGGCCAGAAGGCAGACGGGACGGCCGUGGACAUCUUCUCCUUCGGGAUGUGCGCGCUGGAGGUGUGGGAAGGGGCUGGGAGCCUGUCGGGAGCUGUCACCGCCUGGGGAUAUCCCCUGUCCAGGGCUGUCCCCUGUCCCUGCCCUGUCCCAGGCUGUCCCCUGUCCAGGAGUGUCCCUGUCUGGGGCUGUCCCUUGUCCCUGCCCUGUCUGGGGCUGUCCCCUGUCAUUGUCCUGUGCCCUGGGAACCCCCCCCAGACUGGCCAUGUCCCUGUCUCCUGGAGCCCCCCCACAUGCCCCUGUCCCUGCCCCUGUUGGAUGGCCGUGUCCCUGUCCCUGUCCUGUCCCUGUUGCCCCCCAGC